GGGUAAUCUUCCGCAAUGGGCGAAAGCCUGACGGAGCAAGACCGCGUGGGGGAAGAAGGUUCUUGGGUUGUAAACCCCUUUUCUCUGGGAAGAAAGUUGUGAAAGCAACCUGACGGUACCAGAGGAAUCAGCAUCGGCUAACUCCGUGCCAGCAGCCGCGGUAAGACGGAGGAUGCAAGCGUUAUCCGGAAUGAUUGGGCGUAAAGCGUCCGCAGGUGGCAGUUCAAGUCUGCUGUCAAAGACCGGGGCUUAACCUCGGAAAGGCAGUGGAAACUGAACAGCUAGAGUAUGGUAGGGGCAAAGGGAAUUCCUGGUGUAGCGGUGAAAUGCGUAGAGAUCAGGAAGAACAUCGGUGGCGAAGGCGCUUUGCUGGACCAUAACUGACACUCAGGGACGAAAGCUAGGGGAGCGAAUGGGAUUAGAUACCCCAGUAGUCCUAGCCGUAAACGAUGGAUACUAGGUGUUGUCUGUAUCGACCCGGACAGUGCCGUAGCUAACGC
rnacentral:rRNA from 1 species